rnacentral:rRNA from 1 species
UUGGAGGGCAAGUCUGGUGCCAGCAGCCGCGGUAAUUCCAGCUCCAAUAGCGUAUAUUAAAGUUGUUGCAGUUAAAAAGCUCGUAGUUGAAUUUCGGGGUUAGUAGGUUGGUCAUGCCUCUGGUAUGUACUGAUCUCACUGAUUCCUCCUUCCUUAUGAACCGUAAUGCCAUUAAUUUGGUGUUGCGGGGAAUUUGGACUGUUACUUUGAAAAAAUUAGAGUGUUUAAAGCAGGCUAACGCUUGAAUACAUUAGCAUGGAAUAAUGAAAUAGGACGUUCGAUCUUAUUUUGUUGGUUUCUAGGAUUGACGUAAUGAUUAAUAGGGAUAGUUGGGGGCAUUAGUAUUCAAUUGUCAGAGGUGAAAUUCUUGGAUUUAUUGAAGACUGACUACUGCGAAAGCAUUUGCCAAGGAUGUUUUCAUUAAUCAAGAACGAAAGUUAGGGGAUCGAAGACGAUCAGAUACCGUCGUAGUCUUAACCAUAAACUAUGCCGACUAGGGAUCGGAUGACGUUAAUUUUUUAAUGACUCAUUCGGCACCUUACGGGAAAC